AGGUGGUGCAUGGUUGUCGUCAGCUCGUGUCGUGAGAUGUUGGUUAAGUCCCGCAACGAGCGCAACCCCUAUUGUUAGUUGCCAUCAUUCAGUUGGGCACUCUAGCGAGACUGCCGGUAAUAAACCGGAGGAAGGUGGGGAUGACGUCAAAUCAUCAUGCCCCUUAUGACCUGGGCUACACACGUGCUACAAUGGUUGGUACAACGAGUUGCGAGUCGGUGACGGCGAGCUAAUCUCUUAAAGCCAAUCUCAGUUCGGAUUGUAGGCUGCAACUCGCCUACAUGAAGUCGGAAUCGCUAGUAAUCGCGGAUCAGCACGCCGCGGUGAAUACGUUCCCGGGCCUU
rnacentral:rRNA from 1 species